AUUAAUGAUUAAUAACGUUAUACUAUUAAUUAAUAUUACCAUUGAUAAUUAUUAAGACUGAUGUUUAACAAUUAAUAAUAUUAUUAAGAUUGAUGCUUAAUAAUUAAUCGUAUUAUUUCUCCUAAUACCGCAGGGGGUGUACACCUACCCGUGAUAUUGUUCCUAAUAUCCAGGGAUGGAGAGCAUGAUAUUAGUUUUAAUAUCUCAGUAGGUGUACACUCACCCUGUGACACUGAUCCUAAUAUCCAGGGAGUAGAGUAUGACAUGACUCCCAACAUAGCAAUGAAUGUACAGCCACCCGGUGAUAUUGCUCCUAGUAUUCACGGAAGAAGCGUAGGAUAUUACUUCCAAAAUCGCAGGGAGUGUACACCUCUUCUGUGAUAUUGUUCCUGGUAUCCCGAGGGGGAGAGGAUGAUAAUAAUUCCAGUAUCGCAGGCUGUGAUCACCCACCCUGUGAUAUUGUUAUUAACAUCCUGAAAGGGAGAGGAUGAUAUUACUCCCCGUAAUAGAUAGAUAUUACUCCCCAUAACAGAGCAGGAGGUGUACACCCACCCUGUGAUAUUGUUCCUAAUAUUCAGAGGCCGAGAGGUCGAUAUUACUCCCAAUAUGGCAGGAAGUGUACACCCCCGUGUGAGAUGGUCCUUAAUAAUAUUCCAAGGCGGAGGGGGAGAUAUUACUCCCAAAAUCGCAGAAAGUGUACACCCCCAGGGAUAUUGUUCUCAUGAUCCUGGAGGGAAGAGGAUGAUAUCACUUUAAAUAUCACAGAAGGCUUCGGUAGAUUGCAAAUGACCUGCUUUCUUUCGGAUCCCGGGCUGCUUUCGGACACCUGUCGAAUAGUAAAUCCCAAGUAAGGUACCUGCGGUCGUCGGCAGAUCUGAAUUUUCUUCUUGGACACCUAAUACCCACAGCCCUCCAGAGACCGAGAGGUUGAUGUCACUCCCAAUAUCGGAGGAAGUAUACACCCCCGUGUGAGAUGGUCCUUAAUAAUAUUCCACGGCGGAGGGGGUGAUAUGACUACAUACAUGGCAGAAAGUGGAAACCUCCCAGGGAUAUUGUUCCCACGAUCCUGGAGGGAAGAAGAUGAUGUUACUUUCAAUAUGACAGAAGGUGGAUGAAGUGGUGGACUGCCCCUCCACACCUGUGGACACGCCCCCACUGAUAUUCCUUCUAAUUGCAGCGUGGGAGAGGAGGAUAUGACACGCGAUAUCGCAGGGAGUAGAAACACCCCUGUGAUACUGUUCUUAAUAUUCAGGGAGGAAGAGGAUGAUAUUACUCCCAAUACAGACGGGUGUACACCCUCUGUACACCGAGGGUGUACACCUGUCUGUGAAAGAAUGGACACGCCCCCACUGAUAUUGUUUUUAAUGCAGCGUGGGAGGGGAGGAUAUGACACGCGAUAUCGCAGCUGAGUGCCACGUGCUGACGUCACUAAGAUCAAUACAGCAAACUCUGAAAGAUGGACAGAGAGACAGGAGAUGGUCCUUUAUAAUGCAGUGUGAUCUGUGCUGCAAUAGAGUUUUGGAAGCUAGAAGUUCAAAACGAGGUGUUGGCAGCACCAUGCUCUCUCUGAAGAUGCUAGGAAGAAUCUGCUCCAUGCCUUUCCAUUCGCUCCUGGGGUUUCCUGCAAGCCCUGACAUUCCUUGGCUUGUAGAUGCAUCACCCCAGUUUCCGCCCCCAUCAUCACAUGGCCUCCUCUCUGUGUGUGCCUCUGCGUUCCCUCUAUUCUUCUUCUAAGGACACCGACACCAGUCAUAGUGGAUUAAGGGUCCACUCCUAACCAAUUACAUCUGCAACAACCCUAUUUCCAAAUAAAGUCACAUUCUAAGA
rnacentral:lncRNA from 1 species